rnacentral:rRNA from 1 species
AACCUCUGGUGUUCGGGUUGUCACGCCAGUGGCACUGCCCGGUAGCUAAGUUCGGAAUCGAUAACCGCUGAAAGCAUCUAAGCGGGAAGCGAGCCCUGAGAUGAGUCAUCCCUGACCCCUUGAGGGUCCUAAAGGGCCGUUGGAGACCACAACGUUGAUAGGUGGGGUGUGUAAGCGCAGUGAUGUGUUGAGCUAACCCAUACUAAUUACCCGUGAGGCUUAACCAUACAACACCCAAGAAGUGUUCUG